AUUGAACGCUGGCGGCAUGCCUUACACAUGCGAGUCGAACGGUAACGCGGGGCAACCUGGCGACGAGUGGCGGACGGGUGAGUAAUGCAUCGGAACGUGCCCAGCAGUGGGGGAUAGCCCGGCGAAAGCCGGAUUAAUACCGCAUGAGACCUGAGGUUGAAAGCGGGGGAUCGCAAGACCUCGCGCUUUUGGAGCGGCCGAUGUCAGAUGAGCUAGUUGGUGGGGUAAAGGCCUACCAAGGCGACGAUCUGUAGCUGGUCUGAGAGGACGAGCAGCCACACUGGGAGUGAGACACGGCCCAGACUCCUACGGGAGGCAGCAGUGGGGAAUUUUGGACCAUGGGCGCAAGCCUGAUCCAGACAUGCCGCGUGCGGGAAGAAGGACUUCGGGUUGUAAAUCGCUUUUGUCAGGGAAGAAACGCUCUGGGCUAAUACCCUGGGGUAAUGACGGUACCUGAAGAAUAAGCACCGGCUAAAUACGUGC
rnacentral:rRNA from 1 species